GGGACGCAGCAGUUGAAGGGACUCUAUGUAGCAGCUGAAUCCGAUCUAUUAUGACACCUGCUACAGAGGGGUUUAACCCGAUCUCUUUUCUGUGAUCUGGAUUCGAACUUUGCUCCUAGCGCUUUGGCUGAUUGCUUUACAUGGCAGUUUGGAAUAAGUAGUUACUUUUCUCUUGUGUGGAUUUUGUGGGUGAUUUCGGAUCGUGUAAGGUGGAAAUUUGUGGCUACAGAGAACUGAUAAACUUCACUGCAGCUGGAUAUCGCUCCCUUUGGUUUCAUUUAUUUAUACCACUUAUGAUCUAGUCAGCAGUUGUGGAUGCUUUGUUUCGAGGCCAAGGAACCCAGACAUGCCUGCUGUGAGAUGCAACGAACAUGCAAACUCCACACAUGCAGUGACAAGAGGUUGUAGCUGAACUCUAGAACCUAGAGGAAACCUGAAGUAAUAUUCUACAAAUCUAACAUGCACUGCUACUCUAAACUGGAAUUAAUCAGGACCCACUUGGCUUCUUGGAC